ensembl:snoRNA
AGAUUUAUGAUGAGCUAUGUUUACUGAGCAUUGAUGAAAUGAGGCUCAAUAAGAUUACUCUGAAGUCU